rnacentral:lncRNA from 1 species
CAGCCUCUGAACCUCCAACACUGCCCAUCCCCGCACGGAAACUCGCCUCCCCCUCUCUCCGGCCGCACAGAGGGAAGUCCCGGUGACCCAGCCGAGGGGCUACCGCGGCCCACGCAGCCGGUAAGCGGAGGAAGGAGGCGGCGGCGCAGGCCGGGCGGCCCCAGAGGCGGGGGAAGCGAGGAGGAGGCCGGGCAGGGCCCGCCGGCCGGCGGGGAGGCGCUGAGGGCAGAGCGGCCCCCACCAACGCGCGGCCGCCACCGCCGCCCAGCCCCGCCGCGGGAGACGGGGAGAGUUCAAACCCGAGCGCCGCGGGAGCAGCCACAGCCUGGCCGGGCCGCGUCCGCCGAGGGAAGCCCGUUACCGCCCCGCCAGCCCGUUACCUGCCUGCUCCUCCCCCGCCGCCGCCGACCGCCGCCUCCUCCACAACAAAGCCCGGGAGCGGGCGGGGCGGGAGGAGAGAUGGGCAGGCGGGCGGGCGCGCGCAGCGGCGGGGCCGCGGGCCGAAGGCGGGGCUGGGCGGCGCGGCCCCGGGGACGGGAGAGGCGGCGGGAGGGCAGCGGCGGGACACGCCGAGCCGGUUUGCGGGAGCCUGCCCUGUCCGCGUUGUCCCCGCACGGAAGGGGGAAGUCCUUUCCUUUUUGGGGGGUUCGCGCAGGAGCGCUGCCCUCCCUACUGAGGGUGACACCUCCUGGGGAAAACAAAUCUAAGCAACCAUUUUCUUCACUCUCUGAUCAACUCCGAAUUCUCUUUACUGCAGCAAGCCCACCUGAACACUAGCUUUGCUGUUUGCACCAAAAAGAACAUUGCGCAGGGAGACCAGACCCACACUUCUGGAACAGAAAAGUAGUGGUGUUUCAGCAUCUGCUUUUUGAUGAUACAGAACACUGGAGACUUGGUGAUCCUGCUAUAUUUAUUGAGCAGCAGUCUCAAAAAGCCAAACCAAGGGAUCUAAUGCAAAUGUUAAUGAAACAUUGACGUUGAGAUUUUAAUUACUUAAAGGUCAGCACAUUUAAUGUUUAUUAAUUUAAGGGAGUUAUUCUCUAUUCCCACAGCAAUCCUGACUCUGCUCCUACAUAGAUUCAAGAAUUCAAGUUACUGGUUUUUUGCUGAUACAUGCAAAUUAUAUAACUGAAUUUCAUAGCUGAAUCUUAUUCCUUUUUGCAAUUAUAGUCUCAGUUUUAACACUUUAUUAACACUUCUCCAUGUAUUUCCUGUGUUUCCCUACUUUUCAGCAGGAAUAAAAAUAUUGUGCUUCUCUUAUAUUUGUAGUAA